rnacentral:rRNA from 1 species
GACGAACGCUGGCGGCGUGCUUAACACAUGCAAGUCGAACGGUGACGCGCCUUCCUUUUUGGUGGGUGUGGGUGAGUGGCGGACGGGUGAGUAACACGUGAGUAACCUGCCCCCUUCUUCUUGAUAACCGCAUGAAAGUGUUGCUAAUACGGGAUAUUCUGGGUCUGUCGGAUGAUGGGUCUGGGUAAGAUAUUGUUUGGGUGGGGGAUGGGCUCGGGGCCGAUCAGUUGGUUGGCGGGGUGAUGGCCUACCAAGGCGGGGACGGGUAGCCGGCCUGGGAGGGUGGACGGUCUCAUCGGGGAGGAGACACGGCCAAGCCUGGUACGGGACGCAGCACUGGCGAAUAUUGGACGAUGGGGGGAAGCAUGAUGCAGCGUCGCCGCGUGAGUGAUGGAGGCAUUCGGGUUGUGAAACGAAUGCGUUAGUGUAGCAGGGCUGCCUUGUCUGUGGGUGUGUUGACGGUAGCUGGAGAAGAAGCGCCGGCUAACUCCGUG